UGGUGGAGUGAUUUGUCUGGUUAAUUCUGUAAACGUGUUCAAGUACGGCUACAGUCAUUUGCAGUCGUCUUUACUCACUGUUCAUUAAUCGGGCGCUCUUCUCACCAAGAAGAAACAAUAAUUUCCAGCCUCAAAUGACUGUAGCCGCACUUUAACAGUGAUUGAAUAACAGUUCGGUUCUUCGGUUCGUACUUAGAGGGACUAUCGGUGUGUAGCCGAUGGAAGUUCGAGGCAA
rnacentral:rRNA from 1 species